rnacentral:rRNA from 1 species
ACGCUCGACACCUACGGGAGCAGCAGUCGGGAAUAUUGCGCAAUGGAGGAAACUCUGACGCAGUGACGCCGCGUAUGGGAAGAAGGUUUUCGGAUUGUAAACCAUUUUAGACAAGGAAGAAACAAGACAGUACUUGUAGAAUAAGCUCCGGCUAACUACGUGCCAGCAGCCGCGGUAAUCUGAGCGGGCUGGCAAGGC